UACCCAUUUUUAAUGGGUUCAGGGAGCUCCCGACUUAAACCUCUUGUUUUAUUUUGUCUAAAAAGACUGCCGCAUUAAAUUAACCUGCCAUAAAGACAACCUAAGUUGCCGACCAAUAAACUCAUGUCACUUGCAAGGUAAUCACAAGAUACUAUCCAUGGAUAACACAAAAGGGCAUACUAUUUUCCGUCAAGGAUCAUUACUAAUACGUGCGCAUAUUGGAAUUUGUAUGGGGAAUAUAAGCGUGAGUAUUUUCAAUGCUUUAAAGUUAUGGAUGAAGAAUCCAAAUUUACUGAAUUUUCUGUAAAGCCGUUGAAGCUUUUAAUAGCUUGUCUGCUGUUUUUACUAACUUCUCCAAACCGUAAAGCUUAUAUUUAUUGGCUAAGACCAGGACUGAAUGGCAACAUGGUCAGCUUGAAAUAGAUUACAGGAAGCAAUAUCUUUAUAAGCAAGGUGAAGCCUAAUAUCAUCUGUACAUUAUUCCACGAAUAGCGAAUUAGAUAAAUUGACAUAAAGGACCGUGGGGGAAUGGCAACAGCUGUAAACCUCCUUCGAUACUGUAAGGUAAGGAAUUCUGUAAGUAAUUUAAAAGAAAUUACUGAAAAAACUGUGAUGUCCGAUACAACCAAAAACUCAAUAACAUCAAAAGUAAAAGAUGUUCUUAAAGGGCAGACCUUAGUUAGAAAGAUAGUUCCGAUUUAAGACCUUUAACAAUUAAGUAGGUAAACUUAAGAUAUUUAGAUAGCUAGCUGAAUGCCUCUAAAAAAGUGGUUUUAAUAUCAGAGCUGUUUUCCGUUCCUUGUUUUCCGUUAUACCUUGAGCUAUAAUCUUAGCUUACAUAAAUAAUUUAAGGAAAUCUUGUGAAGAAAAAAAUAUGCUUAAUCGGAGUAGCGCCCACAGGAGGCUUAGACCCUCAAGUGCGAUAGUGAGUAUAAUAUCAGCUGUGACAACUACCACAGCCGGUGGUCCGGACGAUGAAUUGUCUGAGUGUCCUGAGACUGAUCGUUAAGUUUGCGAAUAUUAACGAUCUUAAAGCUAAUCCUAGUCCUACUCUGCCCCAUAAACGCAGCGAUUAUAAAAACCACAUCUUGGGCGGACCUGUGUAAUCUAUGCAUUUUGAUUUACAGCCAUAUCGUGGUAUUAUUGAGUGGUGUGCAGCAGUCUGCUUUUAGAAGACCUUUUUCAAAGCACACAAUUUUAUGCUCCAUUUUUAUUGUUACACAACAUCUGUAGCCCACAGAAGCUACAACAGCAAGAUAAAACAAGUAAUAUGCUUUAGUCGGGAAUUCUGGACUAUGGGAACCCUGAAAGCGCUACGAGGUCAUUUGCAUUAGCGAUAAUAUAACUUAAAAAAAUAUUUCCCUCAAUAGAACUCGAGACCGAUUAAAUUAGCAGUACAUGCACACAGCACAGAAUACAGUCCAAUUCAAUAAAGAUGCGCAUGAAUGUGCAGGGAUACACAUAGCUGUAGCUAACAAGUGUCAAUAUAAGCACCUGCUUACGUUAAUAACUUCUUUUUUUAAGCGAUGACCGUUGAUGAAAAUUUCAGCAGUGAUCCUAUUUUGCUAUAGAAUAUUUAUUUUAUUCAAAAGAAGACAAUUGCACAAUUAAAAUUGAGGUCUUUAUUGGUGUGUAGUUUAAAUUAUUUUAUUUGAUUGUAGCUAUGUUGCCGGCGCGGGCGGAAAUGGCCAUUGCUUUAAUAUUGAAGAUAUUUGAUAUAUAUUUAUUCGAAAAGCUACUUGUCAAAUUUGGUGAUACUAGCUUUUAAAACAUAAAACAUAAAAUAGGAUUUCGAUAUCGAUUUUUGUCGAUUGCGGGGAAAGUUAUCGGAAACAAAUUCGUAUUCCAGGCACUAGGAGGACUAACGAUUAACGGAUUUGGCUAUAUUUAUUCGGCUUUUGAUGCUGAUCAAGAAUAUAUAUUUAAGCAGUCGGAGAUGUUUCCUUUUGUUUGUUACAUACAUUGCAUAAGUUCAUUAUUUAUCAUAAUUUUCUAACGCUUGCUGUUAUAGCAUAAAAGAUGUGCUUAAAAGCCAGACUUCGAUUUUUAUCGAAUGCAUGGAAUUAUGGCAAGUUUUCGACCAUUUCAACAACUUAUAUUGCCUAUAAAAUGCGCUCCGAAAACCAAAAUUAAAAAUAAAGUUUGAAACAAUUGCAGGUUUUGGGAUUGAGGCUUAGAUGUAUAUAAAUUGAUUGAUCUAUACCAAAUGGCGUAAUUAGCGCCAUAAGCUGGUUGACCAAAUAUAAAAUCAAAUCAAUUACGUCUUGCAUUCAACAUUUAUUGGACUUACUUAUCUAAAAGCGUAUAUUUCCUUUCGUUUUAACUUUGCUUUGAGCUAAAGAUGUUCACUGAGAUUGGCUGGAUGCCGGAUUCAAAUUUUUUCAAGACGGACUAAAUAUAAUAUUUUUUGGCUGCUAUUGAUGACUUAUUCGACUUCCAGGAAAACGAAGAUCCUUCUGAAUGAAAUUCGUAUCCACAAUGCAUUAUUGUAUAUCCUGUCGUUUCUCCAGUCUUCAUAAUAAUAAGAAUGUUCAAAACGUACCUGAAAAUGUGCCUAUCAACUGAUAUGUGGGCAAGUGUUUUGCUGAGGUGGUCGCAAUGUUGCGAUGGCUUUUAUAACACGAGUGCUUGAAAAAUGAAUAAAUUUCGCAUCGAUAAGCACAUCGCUUGUGGGUGCAUCCAUUUUGCUAAUCCCCAGCGCUCGUCGGCUGGAAGCUUGGAAACGGAAGCAAUCGUUUUUGAAAAUGGUCUUUAUAAACACGGAUGUAACCAAUUCGUUUUUAAUACGUUUGCCUUUUUUCAUUUCGAUUUUAAGUUUUGUUAUUAGUUUUAUAAAACACUAGUAAUUAUAUAUAUGCUUAAAAAUAACUAAAUUUGUAUUAACAGAAAAUUAAAAUAAAAACAACAUAAAGUGAAAUUGUAAAGUUAAUUUACAGUAACUACAAAAUAUACGCAAAUAACAAAUGGUUCAAA